rnacentral:rRNA from 1 species
GACGAACGCUGGCGGUGUGCUUAACACAUGCAAGUCGAACGGAAAGGCCCUGCUUUUGUGGGGUGCUCGAGUGGCGAACGGGUGAGUAACACGUGAGUAACCUGCCCUUGACUUUGGGAUAACUUCAGGAAACUGGGGCUAAUACCGGAUAGGAGCUCCUGCUGCAUGGUGGGGGUUGGAAAGUUUCGGCGGUUGGGGAUGGACUCGCGGCUUAUCAGCUUGUUGGUGGGGUAGUGGCUUACCAAGGCUUUGACGGGUAGCCGGCCUGAGAGGGUGACCGGCCACAUGGGACUGAGAUACGGCCCAGACUCCUACGGGAGGCAGCAGUGGGGAAUAUUGCACAAUGGGCGGAAGCCUGAUGCAGCAACGCCGCGUGCGGGAUGACGGCCUUCGGGUUGUAAACCGCUUUCGCCUGUGACGAAGCGUGAGUGACGGUAAUGGGUAAAGAAGCACCGGCUAACUACGUG